AAUAUUGCGCAAUGGGGGGAACCCUGACGCAGCGACGCCGCGUGAGCGAAGAAGGCCUUCGGGUCGUAAAGCUCUGUCCUCAGGGAAGAAGGAGGUGACGGUACCUGAGGAGGAAGCCCCGGCUAACUACGUGCCAGCAGCCGCGGUAAUACGUAGGGGGCGAGCGUUGUCCGGAAUUACUGGGCGUAAAGGGUGCGUAGGCGACUACUUAAGUCAGAUGUGAAAGACCAGGGCUUAACCUUGGGGCUGCAUUUGAAACUGGGUGGCUUGAGUAUCGGAGAGGGCAGUGGAAUUCCCGGUGUAGCGGUGAAAUGCGUAGAGAUUAGGAGGAACACCAGUGGCGAAGGCGACUUUCUGGACUGUAACUGACGCUGAGGUACGAAAGCGUGGGUAGCGAACA
rnacentral:rRNA from 1 species